UGAACGCUGGCGGCAGGCCUAACACAUGCAAGUCGAGCGGAUGAAAGGAGCUUGCUCCUGGAUUCAGCGGCGGACGGGUGAGUAAUGCCUAGGAAUCUGCCUGGUAGUGGGGGACAACGUUUCGAAAGGAACGCUAAUACCGCAUACGACCUGGUGAAGCAGGGACCUUCGGGCCGUUGCGCGGAUAGAUGAGCCGAUGUCGGAUUAGCUAGUUGGCGGGUAAAGGCCCGACCAAGGCGACGAUCCGUAGCUGGUCUGAGAGGAUGAUCAGCCACACUGGAACUGAGACACGGUCCAGACUCCUACGGGAGGCAGCAGUGGGAAGUAUUGGACAAUGGGCGCAAGCCUGAUCCAGC
rnacentral:rRNA from 1 species